GUCCGCGUCGAUUAGUGGUUAAAUCACCUCGUUGUGGCUUUAAAUCGCCAUAAGUUGCCAUGCAACUCAUGAGAUAAUGAGACAAAUGCUCCCGAGGAGCCGGGUGUUCGAUCCACCCCGCGGACA